rnacentral:lncRNA from 1 species
AUGGAUGAUGGGAGAAUCCACAGGAGGGAAAAGGAGAGGGAACGUGGCUGGGAGGGGGCAACAGCCCCUUCCUUUCUGGGCACAGGAAGGCAGCCAGGGCACCAGGUCCAGGGAGUGACCUCACAAGGACAGCACAGUUUUUGCAGCUUAGAGAUCACCCACCUGCCCCCACCCAGCUACUCAUUCUGCUCGCCGGCAGGUGUAGGGCCACUCUCCGGCCCCGAGGGAGUGGACGGCUCUGCAGCCUGGGGCCCUGCCUCUUCCUCUGUGUCUCCUCCCUUGGAGGCAGCACUAGCCUCUGCCCCCUUGGCCUGGGGCUCCUGGCUCUCAGGGGUGGCGGCAGCCUUCCCUUCCUGGGCUGUGCCUUCCUCGCCGCAGGCACCGAUCUCGCCCUGCUCCUGCUCUUCCUCUGUGGGUGAGGAGGCAGAGGAAUCACCCCCACCCUCCUUCCGAUUUCUCUUGAAGGACAGACCACUCAAUUUGAAAGGCUUCUUGAAAGAGAAUUUCUUCUUCUUCUUGGGGGUCUCCUUGGCGGGGGCAUCCCCCUUGACCUCAGCGCCCUGGCUAGGGGGUGCUGGCUCGAUGCCAUCGCCAGUGGCCCCGGCUGCCUCCUCUGUUCCGUUCACGGGGGGCGACUCCCCUUCACCCUUGGGGGAUAAGUCUCCAUUGCUUUUCACGUGGCCAUUCUCCUGUCCGUUGGCCUUAGCAGGGGAAGCGCCUGCUGCCUCCUCGGCGGUCACGUCGCCCCGGGGAGCCUUGGAGCUCUGGCUGCCCAUGAUGGGGGGGGGGGGGUCUGCUGGGGGGCGCCCGGGGCGGCCCCGGGCUCGCGCCGCAGGGGAUAGUUCGGCCGGGUCGGCCUGGCCGGCGGAGGGGUGGGGCUCGCGCCUGAGGGGGAGGGGUAUGGGGGGAACCGAGCUGCACCCCCUCUCGGCACCCGACCCGCUAGCUACGCCCGCCACCGCUCGGCUCCGCGCCAGAAUGCCCCACAGUCAUGUUUCUAUCCUGUUAAGAAAAUACAAACACAACAAUGAGAGCUCUCUGAACUAA